rnacentral:rRNA from 1 species
AUUGAACGCUGGCGGCAGGCCUAACACAUGCAAGUCGAGCGAGCGGCGGACGGGUGAGUAAUGUAUGGGGACUGCCCGAUAGAGGGGGAUAACUACUGGAAACGGUGGCUAAUACCGCAUACUAUCGGAUAACCCAUAUGGGAUUAGCUAGUAGGUGGGGUAAAGGCUCACCUAGGCGACGCUCGCUAGCUGGCCUGAGAGGAGGAUAAGCCACACUGGGACGGAGACAGGGCCCGGACUCCUAGGGGGGGAGCAGUGGGGAAUAUUGCACAAUGGGGGAAAGCCUGAUGCAGCCAUGCCGGGGGUAGGAAGAAGGCCUUAGGGUUGUAAAGUACUUUCAGCGGGGAGGCGUUACCCGCAUAAGAAGCACCGGCUAACUCCGUGCCAGCCGCCGCGGUAAUAC